rnacentral:rRNA from 1 species
AUGCUCUCUCAAUGGCAAGAACAAGUACAGCAAGGCUCCACCCUCAAAUCUGACUUGGCUAUUUCAGGUACCAAAAUAUAUUCAGAUGCUUCUUGGUAUAAGAAGAAUGUGCCUGGGUAUGGUGGCAAUCCGGCUACUGGUACUAGUGUUCACAUCCUCUUCCCCAAAGACGAUUCUGAUUCAAGAAUAAUGAUUCAAACCUCUACUCAUGAUGUUUCUUCACCUCUUAUUGCUGAAGUUUAUGCACUUCUAUUUGCUGCUAAAAUCUCUUGCUGGCUUCAGCUUCAACAAGGUUCUUUUCUCACUGACAAUCUUUCAUUACCAAAGAUGGCUGCUUCAAGAGAUAUCAAUAACACCAACAUCAACUGGAGAUGCAGACAGCCAAUUAGCGAGUUCUUUCAAGUCUCUCAUUCUCUUAAUGAUGUUUAUCACAUAUCCAGGAAUUGCUCACAAUUGUGCUCAUCAAGUUCUCAACUCGGGAGUAGAACCCGUCUUUAG